rnacentral:rRNA from 1 species
CACGUAGGGCGCAAGCGUUGUCCGUAAUCAUUGGGCGUAAAGCGCGUGUAGGCGGCCCGGUAAGUCCGCUGUGAAAGUCGGGGGCUCAACCCUCGAAUGCCGGUGGAUACUGCAGGGCUAGAGUCCGGAAGAGGCGAGUGGAAUUCCUGGUGUAGCGGUGAAAUGCGCAGAUAUCAGGAGGAACACCGAUGGCGAAGGCAGCUCGCUGGGACGGUACUGACGCUGAGGCGCGAAAGCGUGGGGAGCAAACAGG